GGCGGCGGCAGGGCUGGGCCGGGCGGAGGGGCCCGUGCCGAUGAGCGGUGUCGGGCUGGAAGCGGUCAUCGCGCGGCCGGAUAACGUCGGACGCGGCUCCCGCAGGGUGAGAGCUUAGCGCAGCAAUGAAGUUGGGAGAAAUGUAACUCAGUUCGCCUUUAAAUGCUGCAGAAGGCAAUAUGGAUAUCUGAGCUGCAGAUAAAUUUGCAAAGUAGGAAACUGCUCAUUGUAAGAAAUCUUCUCUUGGCUGCUAAAUGUUUAAAAUCCUUCCUUUGAAAUGAAUACAGCAGUUCUUGUGAUGGUUCUGCAGACACUGCAUAUACCAAAUGGAUCUUGGAGACAUGCACAACGUGAGGAAAAUACUGCAUCCAUCUCACAGUCUCUGGUUGCCACGGCAAAGACAGCCAUGUUUCCAGGAAAAGACAAUUCUGUGGCCCCUCUCCAAGUCACCCGCAGACUGCUGGAGGCUUGAGCUGGAGAGUGCUCCUGUGCCUGCAGCUGAGACACUUUCUAAGAAGAGAUGAGGGGACGAGGCCUCAGGCGUGGACUGCUGUUAUCUCCCAACAAACAAGCAAGGAGGGACACAGCCUUGGGAAAGCACAUGCAGCACAGAAUCAAGGUGCAGAUAAGAGCAGAAUGUACAGGAUUUAAAAUUCUUGGCCCUGUGAAGCACAACAAGCAUCUGCAAAGAGCUAGUCUCUGUUCUUGGGAUUGAGGCUGAUUGCCAAGCCAAUGGUUUAAGGGCCUGCAGUGUCCCUCCAAAUAUUUAGGGAGACUCCUGGCUGCUCGAUGGCAUUGGUGUGGACUAUAAUGCCCAUGGAUAUUGGAGUUUCCCAAGAGUUGUUCAGACAGGAGCUGGUAGUGAUGGCUUCCAGAUCUGCUCUCAGGGAUAAAGCUUCUCAUGGCUCUGUGUGGUAGAGCCUGGGCCGGAGAGCUGCGUGGCCAUGCGCUCCAGCACUUGGCUUCGGCAGCAGUCAAACACAAAUGUGCAUGGAUCUGCUGGCAAGGAACUGUGGUGGGGAAGGCCUGGGCUGGGCAGUGCAAGGGCUUGUCUGCAAACAGUGCCAGUAGGCAGCAACUCACAUGUGUGGGGCCAGCAGGCCAAGUGCAGAGCAGAACCGCCUCCCCGUGAGCCUGUGAGCAGGAGCACAGCACCUGCAGUGCCCUGCCAGGUCUGGCAGCCUUCCCUUGUUCUGCCCCCCAUGUGCAAUGACACAGGUAGCUGGGCUCACAGCUCAGCAGCAGCAGGAUAGGCUCCAGUGUGUGAGUUCAGCAACGCGUGAACUCCCCACGCGUUCAGCAAAGAGGGAAUCUGGUGCUUUGUGUUUUCAGAAUAAACCAUGGCUCUGUUCCAUCUCCAUGUUUAGGGAAUACAGACUACUGCUGUGACUGUGAUCUGACUUCAUCUUGCAACCCUAUGUGGCCCUGGGGUAGCCUGAAGAUCUUCUGGCAGUUACAGACAUUUCCCCAGAGGGCCUCUGUUUGGGUUCAUUUCCCAGGUUGUGGAAAGUAACU